ACAGCCUAUAACACUAUCAUUCCCCUGUGUAGAGUCAAAUAGAAUACACUAUUCAAAACGUAAAGCAUUGUUACUAUUAUUAACUUAAUUAAGAUACAUUUUCGCCAAUGAUUCAUGGAUGCUGUCUAACUGGUGUAGAUCAUUGUAAUGUAAAUAUAUAUAUAAUACUUAAAUAGAACAGUUUAGUUUGUUCAAUAUAAAAUUAAAAAAAAAAAAAAACUUUCCAUCUUUUGGUCAUAUGAAACUC